rnacentral:rRNA from 1 species
AGCGCAGGCGGGCUGUCAGGUCUUGCUUAAAAGUGCGGAGCUCAACUCCGUGAUGGGCAAGAAACCGGCAGUCUUGAGUAUCGGAGAGGAAAGCGGAAUUCCUAGUGUAGCGGUGAAAUGCGUAGAUAUUAGGAGGAACACCAGUGACGAAGGCGGCUUUCUGGACGAAAACUGACGCUGAGGCUCGAAAGCGUGGGGAGCGAACA